UAUCCGAACACACCUAAAUUCCAUUCCAGAACAAAAGCAAAGUGGAGAAGAAAGGUCCAACAAGUACAAAUACACACACCAUCAUCACCGUUGUGUGCGCUUUGAAGGAGUUUUUGAUUGAUACAAUACAGAUUACAGAGUACAGAGAGAGAAAUGGGGAUAAUGGCAUGCUUAGGGGUGUUAGUACCCUUCCCAUAUUACCACUGGCUGUGGAAGUACCCACAGACAUGGGUGGAUCUGUGUGGCAGACAACGAGACCCUUCAAAAGUGAUGGCUCGAGUUUCUCACGCCCUCAAGCUCAUUCAGUUAUUCUCUCUCUUCUCUGUCUCCUCUCUCUCUUGGCCGCCUCCUCUCUACUUCUGGCCCCUCUUCCUCUUCGGCCAGUUCCUCAACUUCAGGGUAUAUCAAUUGCUCGGUGAACCAGGCACUUACUAUGGUGUACGCUUUGGAAAGAACAUCCCAUGGGUAACAGAAUUUCCCUUUGGGGUGAUAAAAGACCCCCAGUAUGUCGGAAGUGUACUGAGUCUUCUGGCCUGUUUAUCUUGGGUUCCCUUCCUGUACAUUCUCUUGUGGGUAUUGGGCUAUGCAUUCAUGAUAUAUGUGGAGUCCAAGGAAGAUCCGGCUACUCGUGCCAAGCCACUUUCUUGAGAUCAGCAAGACGCUAAUCAGUGAGUUCCAGGAACCAAUGACGCAGAGAAUCCUCCUCCAUGAGGAACUUUCAAUUUAUGAUGAUCACACAUUGACCAUAAAGACAGCACUCAAAUUGCUUUGAGUUGUUUCCCAAUAUCUGCCAUUGAUGAUUACGCCUAUAAAGACGACAGUCAAAUUGCUUUGAGGAGUUUGCCAAUAUCUGUAAUUGAUGAUUACGAAUGGAAGCAGUUCCAAAUUCGACUCGAGACGUAGACACGACCCCUUAUGAACAAUUACUAAUUAUUCAGGUUCGGUUUUGAUGUAAACGAAUGAGGCUUCUUUCUAUCCAGAUUUUGAAAUGGUUUCUACACCAUUGGUAAAUGAUUAAUGCGGGAAACUUAUUUUUUCUCUUGCAAAUGGU